rnacentral:rRNA from 1 species
CUACGGGUCGCAGCAGUGGGGAAUUUUGGACAAUGGGGGAAACCCUGAUCCAGCCAUGCCGCGUGCGGGAAGAAGGCCUUCGGGUUGUAAACCGCUUUUGUCGGGGAAGAACGGCUUUGCGCUAAUACCGCGAGGCUUUGACGGUAUCCGAAGAAUAAGCACCGGCUAACUACGUGCCAGCAGCCGCGGUAAUACGUAGGGUGCAAGCGUUAAUCGGAAUUACUGGGCGUAAAGCGUGCGCAGGCGGUUGUGCAAGACAGAUGUGAAAUCCCCGGGCUUAACCUGGGAACUGCAUUUGUGACUGCACGGCUGGAGUGCGGUAGAGGGGAGUGGAAUUCCGCGUGUAGCAGUGAAAUGCGUAGAUAUGCGGAGGAACACCGAUGGCGAAGGCAGCUCCCUGGACCUGCACUGACGCUCAUGCACGAAAGCGUGGGGAGCAAACAGGAUUAGAUACCCGGGUAGUC